UUCAUUUUCACCUAAACCUAGCAGAAAUCUUAGGGGAUGAAUGAAUGAAGGGCUUGGGAUACUCUUAUUUACAAAUUUCCUCCUCCCAUUUCCGUUUCACCUACCGAUCUGAUUCACUAUUUCUUUCGUUCUGCGAUCUCUGCUCUUUGUUCGUGGUUCUUCUAUUUUCUCUGUGCUAUCAACCUGUUAUGCUUUGAUCUAAAAUUUCGUCCUCUGAACUUGAAUUCAAGCAAACGACAGGUUCCCUUCCUAGCCCUUACUAUCUUUGACUUUAUUUUCUAUAUUUCAACGAUUUACAAUCAAAAUUGAAGAUUUUGUUAAUUUUUGUUGCUAGAUUUCAUGAUAAAAAAAAUUGUGUUUUGGAAUAUGAUAAGAUAGUAAUGUCUCAGAGCAAGUGGAUGAUAACCCUGACUCCAUGGAUGAAAACAAUAUGUCCAAUGGAGUUUAUGAAAUUUCUCCGUUCAGGGCCAUGUGCUUCAGACUUUGAAGAAAAAUCCUGAUCUAUAGCUUUGUGGAAGCCUGAUUCUGUUUAAGAAUAAAAUGGAGCAGUAUAAGUUGUUGGAUUGUAUUGGAACAAACACUCAUUUGGAGACUGAGCAAGAGGUGAAUUCAAUGGAUUGUUAGUUAUGUGGAUGAAAAAAUUAUCAACUCUUUGUAGGUGGUCAAAUCGAAUGGGGGGUUUGAGUUUUGUUGGCGAGGUAUGGUUACUUUUUCUGUUUUAUGUUGUAUUUAGGGGCUAAACUUUUAUUGGCUUUCAAGAUUUUGAUUUAUCAGGGGCAACGCUGCUAUAUCUUUGUUCUAUCCUACUGCAAGACAUGUCAGCUAGAGGUGAAUUCGGUGAUUCUGCACUGUUUGAGAAUCUAUCUUUGUAAAUCAGGGGCAAUGCAAUGUAUGUAGAAAGAUCACAAUUCAGUCUUGGUAUAUUGUUUAUUUGAAUUACAUUGUUGCUGA